GAUUCCCGGCUUUUGCCUCCUUUAAGACGGCGAUCCCGGGAGUGAAACUGGCCGGGCAUCCAAGCCAGCAAUGUAGAUGUGUCCCACUUUGGCCGCAGCCCUUCCAGCACACUGGUUUUGCUGAGUUAGAUAUAUAUGCCAGCCUCUGCGGAGUUAGAAAGUAGGCAGUUUUGGAUAUCAACUGUCCCCUUAACACUGGCUUAAGUGCAUCCCAUUUACAUGUUGGAGAAACAUCAUCAGUAUUAUUAUCUGCAAAAUAGCUUUUGAUG